AUUCUACUUCUCUCUCUAAGUAACAUGAAGAAAACUUUUUAUCGCCUCUCUCUAGGAUCCAAACCCCUCAAAUUUCCAGAAAAAACGAAAAACAUGAUGAACAUCUCAAGAACAUCUUGAAUGUUCUUGAGGUGAUUUUCCAGAAACCAUUAAAACUACCCAGACCCUCAUACAAUAAAUACAAACCCUAGCUCAAAUUCAACCUUAACCACAAAUCCACCCUAAAAAAAAGUGCAACAAAUUAAGCGGAUCGAAACAAAGAAAAUAGAUCCCUAAGUUUAAAAAUAUGUCUGAUCUACACAUGUUAAGCAUCAAACACUAUAAUUAAUUUAGGGAAAACAUCUAUGGCAUACGCAGAAGUGUAAAAUCAAACAGAAAGCGUGUUAAAUCAUGCAAUAGGUACCAAAUUGGAGCAAACUACUCUGGUGAAGAACUCCAACAAGCUUUAACUUUCAGCUUUGACUGAGGUUGCUUGAAGGAGUUAAGCUCAGCUUAAUUAGAGCUUCAAUGAGAAGCUCUAAUUGCUACAACAAGGAGCUCUAAAUGAAGGUUUUGGAUUUUAAGGUGUUACAAUUUACUUGUUCAUAGUGUGAAGUUUUGUGUAUUAUUUGUAGGUUUUGAAUUCCCCUUUUGUGUGUGAAUUAGAGCUAGCUUAAAUAGGCAUAGAUUAGGGUAUAGUGUGAGUGUGUGAAAAGUAAUUUCAAGUGUGUGAAAAGUGAUGAAAAUGAGUGAGAAUUUGUGUGAAUUGGAAGAUUUUUUGUGUGAGAGUGUGAUUUUGUUACGAAUCAUGUGAGGAGUAAAAAAAUUGGGAGGGAAAUGUAAAGAUUUGUUGCGAAUUUUGUGGAGAACGGGGAUGUGCAAACCGUGUGUGGUUUGUUAGUGGUCCAUGUGCAAGUUUUAAUUCUCAAAUUGUAAUGUAAUAAUCUUGAAAUUCAAAUGAAAUUCGAAUUAUUAAUUUCAAA